AUUCUUUAGUCUUAUUUCCUUUCUCCUUCACCAUAUUAAUUGCCAAAAACUUAUCUACAAUUCUCUCACAAAUACUAUAUCACAAAUCAAAGCCAACGAAAAAGAUAAAAAAAGAACUUUCUAGUAGUAUUUUGUUAUUAAUUAAGGGAUGGUGAAGGUGACAAUUAUAGGGAGGGUAAGUGAUGGGAUGCCCUUAGCACAAGGUCCAAGAUUACAUGAAGAGAAUAAUGAUGUUUUAACAACUUACAAGAAACAAGCUGAGUUCAUUCUCAAGGAAAUUUCUUUACAAGCCUUGCCAUCUAACAAGAUGACCAUUCUUCUAGAUCACCAUUGCUUCAACUACAUGGUUGAGAAUGGGAUUUGCUACCUGACAUUAUGCGAAUCGUCGUAUCCAAGAAAGCUUGCCUUCCAUUAUCUACAAGAUUUGCAGCAGGAGUUUGAAAGAUUAGAUAGCAGCCUUGUUGACAGGAUUACAAAACCAUAUACCUUCAUUAAACUUGACACUAUCAUUGGCAACAUUAGGAAGCAAUAUGUGGAUACAAGAACACAGGCAAAUUUAUCUAAACUAAAUGCUCAUCGUCAAAAAGAUUUAGAUAUCGCGACAGAGGAAUUAUCACUAAUAACAGAGAGAAGGCGAAGAAUAGAAAUGAUGGAACGAAUGAUGGAGGCUCAUAUAAGUACUUCUCCUAUUUGGGAGUCCAAAAGGCUUGAGAUCAUCGCGCUGAAAUGGACACCAAUUACAAUCCUUCUUGUUGUUGCUUCUGUUCUUCUAUGGACUGGCUUAAUCCUCCAAGAUGAUUUUCGAUAAUGGUGAACUGAACUUUGGGCUUUCUAAAGCCAUAGUCAAGAAAGUGGACAUAAAGCAACUAACAAAUUGUUCAUAUUGUUAUUAUUGGGAUUUGAUGCCUCAUUCAUAUAUGUCCAGCAGAUCGAUCGAUCACUUCAUAUGGAAUGAAUUAGACUUUGUACACCAUGAAAUACAAGAAAAAGGAGAAGGCAUCUACAGUAAAAAUGCGCGUUUAACACUAGACCUUUUGCUGAUGAAGAAAUUAAACAGGUAACCAAACAGUAUGGUUCCUACUUUUAUUACCUCUUCUAUUUUUGUAUAAAAUUCUAAAAAACAGAACUCAUCAUAUGUACAUCACAUCGUCGUUAAUAUUGAACUCCCCUGACAUAAAAUCCUCAAAUCCGUUACCAGACAAUGUAUCCUCAAACUUGAGUUGUGGUGGGAAAAUAUCAUUGUGAACCUCUUGAUUUACGCCA